rnacentral:rRNA from 1 species
UACGUAGGGUGCAAGCGUUAUCCGGAAUUAUUGGGCGUAAAGAGCUCGUAGGCGGUUUGUCACGUCUGCUGUGAAAACUGGAGGCUCACCUCCAGCCUGCAGUGGGUACGGGCAGACUAGAGUGCGGUAGGGGAGAUUGGAAUUCCUGGUGUAGCGGUGGAAUGCGCAGAUAUCAGGAGGAACACCGAUGGCGAAGGCAGGUCACUGGGCCGCAACUGACGCUGAGGAGCGAAAGCAUGGGGAGCGAACGG